GCAGACACAUUACAGCCAAUCAGCAGCAGACCCUCCCUCCCAGACCCUCCCACCUCCUGGACAGCAUCCAUUUUACAUUCAUUGUGAAGCUGCAUUCUUAGUGAGCUGUCCAGGAGGUGGGAGGGUCUGGGAGGGAGGGUCUGCUGCUGAUUGGCUGGAAUGUGUCU
rnacentral:miRNA from 1 species